rnacentral:tRNA from 1 species
GCCGUGGUGCCCGAGUGGUCCAAGGGGUUUGGCUCGAGACCAAAUCUCCGUAAGGAGACGUGGGUUCAAAUCCCACCCACGGCG